UACGUAGGUGGCGAGCGUUGUCCGGAUUUACUGGGCGUAAAGAGCGCGCAGGCGGUCGUUCAAGUCGCGUGUGAAAGCCCCCCGGCUCAACUGGGGAGGGUCACGCGAUACUGAUCGACUCGAAGGCAGGAGAGGGUAGUGGAAUUCCCGGUGUAGUGGUGAAAUGCGUAGAGAUGCGGAGGAACACCGAUGGGCGAAAGGCA
rnacentral:rRNA from 1 species